rnacentral:rRNA from 1 species
GACGAACGCUGGCGGCGUGCUUAACACAUGCAAGUCGAACGAAGAGCGAUGGAAGCUUGCUUCUAUCAAUCUUAGUGGCGAACGGGUGAGUAACGCGUAAUCAACCUGCCCUUCAGAGGGGGACAACAGUUGGAAACGACUGCUAAUACCGCAUACGAUCUAAUCUCGGCAUCGAGGAUAGAUGAAAGGUGGCCUCUACAUGUAAGCUCUCACUGAAGGAGGGGAUUGCGUCUGAUUAGCUAGUUGGAGGGGUAACGGCCCACCAAGGCGAUGAUCAGUAGCCGGUCUGAGAGGAUGAACGGCCACAUUGGGACUGAGACACGGCCCAGACUCCUACGGGAGGCAGCAGUGGGGAAUCUUCCGCAAUGGACGAAAGUCUGACGGAGCAACGCCGCGUGAGCGAUGACGGCCUUCGGGUUGUAAAGCUCUGUUAAUCGGGACGAAAGGCCUUCUUGCGAAUAGUGAGAAGGAUUGACGGUACCGGAAUAGAAAGCCACGGCUAACUACGUG